rnacentral:misc_RNA from 1 species
AAAAUUACAAAAGCAAUGAGGCUUUAGCUUGCAUUACUGCAAGCCUGCAACUAGCUAGCCUUGUAUCCCAAAAAUCAAAAACCUGCAUGAAUAGUUAUAACUAUAUACACUUGUAUUAUUUGAACCUCUCAAACCUUUUGGGCAGAUGAAAAUCCACUACUAAAGAAGCUUGUCUCAACUCACAAGGGGCUAUGGAGCACGGCUGCGGUCCCUGUCCAGUAUACCUUCCAUAACGAUCUUCUUCUUGUACUCGUCUAAAUCCAUCGAUCCUUACCCCAGAAGACCAGA